UACGUAGGGCGCAAGCGUUAUCCGGAAUUAUUGGGCGUAAAGAGCUUGUAGGCGGUUUGUCGCGUCUGCCGUGAAAAUCCGGGGCUCAACCCCGGACUUGCGGUGGGUACGGGCAGACUAGAGUGUGGUAGGGGAGACUGGAAUUCCUGGUGUAGCGGUGAAAUGCGCAGAUAUCAGGAGGAACACCGAUGGCGAAGGCAGGUCUCUGGGCCGCUACUGACGCUGAGAAGCGAAAGCGUGGGGAGCGAACAGG
rnacentral:rRNA from 1 species